AGGGUGCAUUAUAGAGCACUCGUGUCCUGCGUUUUAGACCUUGACAAAAUUACUGUGAAUGACAUUAUCCUUCUGAACACUUCCAGGUGGAGUGCCCUGAAGCCUGAAUGCAGUCAGUCAGCUCUAGAGGGGAAUGCCACCUGCAGAAAGGAUGAGAACCAUCUGCAUCAUGGGGCCUGGGGGCCAUGGACCACUGUCUGAGUGAUGAGAGCAAUUCACAUCUGCCAAAAGCAAAUGAUGUGUUGGCUUACUGUAAAUUCCUUGUCAAGUCCAGAAUACGCUUUUCAAGUGCGACUACUUUACUACUGAUCAAUGACGAAGCGGACAAGAUGAAUUUCAUAUUCAUUCUCCAUUGUUGCAAAUCAUUUUAAUUACUUCUGCAAAGGGUAAUUGGCACAACCAGCAGAGGUUAACAGAUCAUCUGAGAGCAUUUAUUUUGCCCAUUUAUCCACUUUUGAAGUGCCAAUAUUAAAAUAUUUUAUUUUUUGUUACAAUAUUUUAUAUAUACAUUACAAUAAAUAUAAGUGUUUUCUAGAGGAACUUGUGACC
rnacentral:lncRNA from 1 species